CUCCACUAUGGCCAAGACCAAAGAGCUGUCGAAGGACACCAGAGACAAAAUUGUAGACCUGCACCAGGCUGGGAAGACAGAAUCUGCAAAAGAAUAUGGACCAGGUCAGCAAAAUGUCAAAGAUGGCAUCACAGACUGGUGAAUGGGGAGUACUGCUGACAUCAACCGUCGGCCAUUGCGUUGACAGUGCCCAUCUCAACAGUGAACUGUGAGAUUUUUCUUCAAUGAACUGAGUGAAGACAGACUUGAGAAACAGGGGGACCCAUCUUGUAGCAUGCCUCACAUUGACUAUAAAUGGACCACCUAUUGCUGAUUCCCCCAUUCCCCCACUCAUUUUUUUUUUUUUAAGUCCAGGAAAAUCAAGUGUUCCAAGGCAGGAUGCAAACUUUGCAAAUAGAUCUUUGUUAUGGUCCUUGGAAAUAAUA